GGGAGGAGAGAAAGUCCUCUUUUGCACCUGUGCAGCACUCACCCCUCAUGUGGAGCAGCUGAGGAGUUGAGGUGAUGGAGUUUGAGGACAUCAAAUCAGGUUACAUUGAUUAUGUCCUCCACAACAGUUCCAAUUUCUUAGGUAACUCAUUGGAAAACUGAAUUACCCACCCCUAGAUAGAUCCUCUGCA